UAUUGCUUCGGCAAUACAUAUACUAAAAUUGGAACGAUACAGAGAAGAUUAGCGUGGCACCUGCGCAAGGAUGACACGCACAUUCGUGAAGCGUUCCAAAUUUUU
rnacentral:snRNA from 1 species